GACGAACGCUGGCGGCGUGCCUAAUACAUGCAAGUAGAACGCUGAAGGAGGAGCUUGCUCUUCUGGAUGAGUUGCGAACGGGUGAGUAACGCGUAGGUAACCUGCCUGGUAGCGGGGGAUAACUAUUGGAAACGAUAGCUAAUACCGCAUAACAGUAGAUGUUGCAUGACAUUUACUUAAAAGGUGCAAUUGCAUCACUACCAGAUGGACCUGCGUUGUAUUAGCUAGUUGGUGGGGUAACGGCUCACCAAGGCGACGAUACAUGGCCGACCUGAGAGGGUGAUCGGCCACACUGAGACUGAGACACGGCCCAGACUCCUACGGGAGGCAGCAGUAGGGAAUCUUCGGCAAUGGACGGAAGUCUGACCGAGCAACGCCGCGUGAGUGAAGAAGGUUUUCGGAUCGUAAAGCUCUGUUGUAAGAGAAGAACGAGUGUGAGAGUGGAAAGUUCACACUGUGACGGUAUCUUACCAGAAAGGGACGGCUAACUACGUG
rnacentral:rRNA from 1 species